AGUGGACGCUGGCGGUAGGCCUAACACAUGCCAGUCGAACGGCAGCACAGUAAGAGCUUGCUCUUACGGGUGGCGAGUGGCGGACGGGUGAGGAAUACAUCGGAAUCUACUUUUUCGUGGGGGAUAACGUAGGGAAACUUACGCUAAUACCGCAUACGACCUACGGGUGAAAGCAGGGGAUCUUCGGACCUUGCGCGAUUGAAUGAGCCGAUGUCGGAUUAGCUAGUUGGCGGGGUAAAGGCCCACCAAGGCGACGAUCCGUAGCUGGUCUGAGAGGAUGAUCAGCCACACUGGAACUGAGACACGGUCCAGACUCCUACGGGAGGCAGCAGUGGGGAAUAUUGGACAAUGGGCGCAAGCCUGAUCCAGCCAUACCGCGUGGGUGAAGAAGGCCUUCAGGUUGUAAAGCCCUUUUGUUGGGAAAGAAAAGCAGCAGGUUAAUACCCCGCUGUUCUGACGGUACCCAAAGAAUAAGCACCGGCUAACUUCGUG
rnacentral:rRNA from 1 species